rnacentral:lncRNA from 1 species
CUUGAAUGCUAUUCUCCUCCUUUCUAGAAAUGCAUUGAUGUAAUAACACUGUCCACCUUAAGGCAACAAGGUACCUACAUACAAAAAUGAUUCCUUAUGUUGGUAUAACACCUGUAACAUUUCAAAGCUUUCUCAUGAUAGUAUUUAAUGUCUUAUAGCUGUAUUAUAGCAGAAAGUCACAUUUUUUAUUGUUCAGCACUAAGAAACUAAAUUGUGUGUACAUUCUUUUUAUCUUUCAUGAUGACAGGUAUUCUAUUGCUCAACCAAGAGAUUUAAUUGGAAAAUAAGAAAUUCCUGGAAUACACUACUUGCCUAAAGCUUUUUCCAUCUAGAGUCAGUGCUUGAGGCUCAAAGGUAAGAAGUUCCAGAACUCACAGCUUCUCUGAAAGGAAACUGAGUCAGGGAACUGGGAAUGAAUUGCGAAUGUCAAACAGAAAGGAACUUAAAGGGCAACAGCUCUCUAUUCCGCUGAGCCGAAGUUGCCACGUUGUAUACACCGCUCAUCAGCAUCUGUUGACAAAAGGGGAAACAUCCAGGCUUGUAAUGAUUGCAGAGGUUAGAAGCUAUAAUUAAAACUACAUAAAAUUAAUGGAUGGACUUAGAAAGAUUUAUGUGCCUUGAAAUAAAAGUACUUUCGACUAGUUGA